AACACCGUUCGUAUAUUAUAUACAUAUAUAAUAAUGUAUAGUGCGGUGGUUGCAGCCAGCCCAGCGCCUAGCCGGAGAUGGACCAGAUAGAGAUGAUAAUAAUUCGGUACAGUGAAUCUGUGUGCGCGGGCUUAUAUAUUAUGGGCGUGUGUGUAUGUGUGUGUGUGUGUCUUUGAAAGAUUUUUUUUUCUUAUAAUCCGUAUAGUAGUAAAUAAUGUGUUUGGUACUUCAGCUGUCGGUUAUUAUUAUUAUAUUGUGUUGGUCCUCGCGACGGCCGAGCAUUAUAUUAUUAAAAAAAAAAAAAAAAAACACAACACAACACAACACGUGGGGCAGAGCAACGAAUAAUAUACGAAGAACGAUGAUGACGACGACGACGACGACGACGGCGACGACGACUUCGACGACCAACACACCAGUCAGAGGCGAUACGCGAGCACGUAGGAGUGAGUACGCCCCGAGUCAAGAGAAACGUGUACGACGCGGAUUCACAGACGACGAGAUGUACGGUAGGACUAAUAUGGAUAAUGUACACGGGCGAUUUGGUGAAGGAAUAAUAUUAUAUACACAGACCCGGCCGGGGACGACGGGGGAAAGAGACUGAUGUAGAGCGCAUAAUAUAAUGUUAUAUUAUACAUAUAUAUAUGCGUUAUAGGCAUAUACUCGGAGAGAAGAGACGAAAAAAAAGAUUGAAUUACACACAUAUACAAUAAUAAUAUUAUACACUGCGCACAACUCGGAUACAGCGCGCGGGCCCCGCGUGCCGUUUUCUUGUUACAGUUGCACACACAGAGCGGCUCAUUAUAUGUGCGCGCAAGGUUAAAAUAUAUUACGUGUGCACUGUGUAGGAAAACGUAUUAGGGUUCUACGGAUCCGUUGGUUUGGUAUUAUUACUAUUUUUUUUUUUUUGACGUUUGUGUUCGUCGGAAGAAAAAAAUAAGCACACACGUCCCGUCUAGCGUAUACAACCAUGCACGUUCUGCAGUCCACCAAACGUGCGCUACACGUGUGCAUUAUAAUAUCGUAUUAUAGGUAUAGAAUAACGAUCGAGUAAUAUUAUAACAUCACAAUAAUAAGCGCGUUACCGUUAUAUGUCGAUAUAUGAUGUUAUUAUUGGCCACCAAAAAGUGUUAUAAUAUUAUAUCAUAAUAAUUCAUAACACAUCUAUUCUGACCCGAUAUCUCAAUCGUCGAGCUUGUAAAAUAGGUACUUUAUCAAUCUUUACAUAUUAAUACAAUAUUGUAAAGGUGAAUUUAUAAUAUAUAUAUAUUAGGUGCAGCUCAGCGAUGUAUUAUAUUAUGAGUAUAUGACGUAUACUAUACGUGUUAUUUACAGUAUCACUGAGAUGUUUAUAAUACACUGAACUGGAGAGUUGGAAAACACAUCACCCAAGUUUACACGGAGUAUCGGGACAUAAGAAACCUAUACUAUAUAUAUACCAUCGAAUAUGGAAGAAACUCUCAACGAAAACAAUACCAGCAAAAUGAUCAUGUUUCUAAUCAAAAUUAAUUUCAUUAAAAAACUUUAACAUUGUAAAAAUAUUUUACCUUAGUCUCUAUAACUUACAGUACCUACAAUUUUAUUUAUUUUUCUACUUUUAAUCUAUUAUGUAUAUCUAAAAUACGUUAGGCUAAUAACCUAUGAUGUUAAA